rnacentral:rRNA from 1 species
UGGGGAAUCUUCCGCAAUGGACGAAAGUCUGACGGAGCAACGCCGCGUGAGUGAAGACGGCCUUCGGGUUGUAAAGCUCUGUGAUUCGGGACGAAAGGCCAUAUGUGAAUAAUAUAUGGAAAUGACGGUACCGAAAAAGCAAGCCACGGCUAACUACGUGCCAGCAGCCGCGGUAAUACGUAGGUGGCAAGCGUUGUCCGGAAGUAUUGGGCGUAAAGCGCGCGCAGGCGGUCACUUAAGUCCAUCUUAGAAGUGCGGGGCUUAACCCCGUGAUGGGAUGGAAACUGGGAGACUGGAGUAUCGGAGAGGAAAGUGGAAUUCCUAGUGUAGCGGUGAAAUGCGUAGAUAUUAGGAAGAACACCGGUGGCGAAGGCGACUUUCUGGACGAAAACUGACGCUGAGGCGCGAAAGCGUGGGGAGCAAACAGG